GAAAUGCGAUAAGUAGUGUGAAUUGCAGAAUUCAGUGAAUCAUCGAAUCUUUGAACGCACAUUGCGCCCCUUGGUAUUCCAUGGGGCAUGCCUGUUCGAGCGUCAUCUACACCCUCAAGCUCUGCUUGGUGUUGGGCGUCUUUGUCCCGCCUCCGCGCGCGGACUCGCCCCAAAUUCGUUGGCAGCGGUCCUUGCCUCCUCUCGCGCAGCACAUUGCGCUUCUCGAGGUGUUGCGGCCCGCGUCCAGAAAGCAAUCGUUACCGUCUUUGACCUCGGAUCAGGUAGGGAUACCCGCUGAACUUAAGC
rnacentral:misc_RNA from 1 species